GACGAACGCUGGCGGCGUGCCUAAUACAUGCAAGUAGAACGCUGAAGGAGGAGCUUGCUUCUCUGGAUGAGUUGCGAACGGGUGAGUAACGCGUAGGUAACCUGCCUGGUAGCGGGGGAUAACUAUUGGAAACGAUAGCUAAUACCGCAUAAUAGUAGAUGUUGCAUGACAUUUGCUUAAAAGGUGCAAUUGCAUCACUACCAGAUGGACCUGCGUUGUAUUAGCUAGUUGGUGGGGUAACGGCUCACCAAGGCGACGAUACAUAGCCGACCUGAGAGGGUGAUCGGCCACACUGGGACUGAGACACGGCCCAGACUCCUACGGGAGGCAGCAGUAGGGAAUCUUCGGCAAUGGACGGAAGUCUGACCGAGCAACGCCGCGUGAGUGAAGAAGGUUUUCGGAUCGUAAAGCUCUGUUGUAAGAGAAGAACGAGUGUGAGAGUGGAAAGUUCACACUGGGACGGAAUCUUACCAGAAAGGAACGGCGAACUACGG
rnacentral:rRNA from 1 species